UGUCGCUUGACCGAGUGGUCUAAGGUACCAGAUUUAAAAUCUGAGGUUCGUGGGUUCGAAUCCCAUGGCGACAA